UACGGGGGGGGCAAGCGUUGUUCGGAAUUACUGGGCGUAAAGGGCUCGUAGGCGGCCAACUAAGUCGGAUGUGAAAUCCCCAGGCUUAACCUGGGAAUUGCAUCCGAUACUGGAUGGCUUGAAUCCGGGAGAGGGAUGCAGAAUUCCAGGUGUAGCGGUGAAAUGCGUAGAUAUCAGGAGGAACACCGGUGGCGAAGGCGGGUCUCUGGGCAAUAACUGACGCUGAGGAGCGAAAGCGUGGGGAGCGAACAGG
rnacentral:rRNA from 1 species